ensembl:lncRNA
UGAAAGUUAGUUUUGCCUGUUACUCCCAAUUGCUUCAAGAUUAAUUCAAUCGGAUAGAACGUGAUAAGAGUUUAAUUGAUUUGUUCUGAAAGGGCGUGGGCCUUGCUUGUUUUGUCUCGAACAUAGUUUACUAUCAGGCCUUCGUUCCCCCUCGCUGAUUGUGAUAAUCUUUUUCUGAUGUGGGCCUAGAAGACCUAACCAGGGAGAAGAAAGAGAGAGAGAGCGACGGACCUCUGCGGGGAAAGGAGGCCACUGAAAUACUAGUAACCAAUGAAAUCAAGGUAUCCACCUCCCAACCUCUCACACCAUCCAACUCCACUCCUGCUACCUUCAUUCCCCCUGCUCCCACCACUUCCUGUGUGUGUAAAGUCUCCACUUCCUGUUCCUCUCCGACCCAGCCCGAGUCUCCGCCACCUGCGCUGGGUGUUAUCAAGGUCAAAUGGGAAGAAAAGUCCUGUAAGGGGGAUGUACACCUGUCUCUCCUCUCGUCCCAUUCCUUACCAGUCUGCUUUAACAGUCUUACCCAUCGUAGUCUUCAUCGUGCAGGGCUGUGUAAGAGGAAGGGCUGCGAGGGCUCCCCAACGUGGACUAAGAUCAAUCCUAAAGCUUUGGGUUACCAGAUCAGUACGAAUGGAAGUGUUGCCAACAACCCCUGUACAACACUGGGGAUCCAAUGCGACGUCGUCUCAGAUCAGUUAGUGGGCUAUAAGGUGGUGACUGGUCUACUGUGUGUUCUGGUGCUGGUGGUGCUGAUGGUGCGUUUCGGGCAGCCCUCCCUCAAGGCCCUCCGUAGGAGACUGUCAGACAAGAGGCAGAGUCGGUGGAUCGGACCUACGCAGAGCCAAAGUGUCUCCUACCAUAGAGGGAAGGCUGGACUCCAACUUAACGACAACACAGACAAGAGACACUCCUACCCUGGAUUGGAGAGGCUGACGGUGAACACCAGCCGAGAGCCUUCGUCUAACAGAAACAGUGAUUAUGACUCUUAUAACUUGUGAUCAUCAUCAUCAUCAGUCAUAUCCUUCACCCACAAUGACAAUACACUGUACAUGUAUUUUUCAUAUUUUAUUAUAUUUUUAUAUUUUUUUAUGCUAAUUGUAAAAAAAAAAAAAAUUAAGCACAUAAAUAUCUUUUUUUUU